UUCUUCUCUACAACAAUCAAUUCCACAGUCCACACUUCUAGUGUAGAGGAAAAAUUGCCUUCAAGUACAUAUUAACUACAUUUGGUGGUCCUAUACUGAGGGAAGCUCCUGAAUCCACUUGAUGAACUAUUUUCUUCAGGUACGCAAAAGCUAAUUGAUAAGUUGCAAUGGCAGCAAAUGAUGUCAAUUCUAACGAUGUCAGUGGGGACUGUGGGAGGCUUUAUCUGGCUGCGCUGAAAGGUGAUUGGAAAUCUAUUGAGGACAUGACAAACAUUCAAAGACGUCUUAAUUGGAACGAAGAAACCACUCUUCAUAUUGCUGCUGCAGCUGGAAAUGUGAAAAUUGCCGAGAUGAUGCUAAAGAAAAAUCCUGAGCUGCCAAACCUAGGAGUAGCCUUGCAAAUGCUGGAUAAGAACCCCGAUUUAACUACCGCUACAAACUCGGAUGGAAAGACUGCAUUGCAUGUGUUAGCUCACAAGCCUUCUGUAUUUGUUAAUGAAAGUCAGCUGGGAGUUUUGAGGAGACACAUCAAUAUUCCAUGGUUGAAAUCAAAACAGGCAAACUCAAAGUAUUCUCAAGUCAAUGAAUUGUUAAAAAAAUGUCUUCAGGGUUACAGAGGUGAUGUUGAGAAUUCAAACGAAACCUCAGUGAUUUCAUCUGUUCUGUUUGAAGCAGCAGAAGUAGGCAACAUCGAGUUCUUGGUUAAGCUUAUUUGUUUUAACUUUGAUCUAUUAUGGAAAAUAAAAGACAAUAAAAGCAUAUUUCAUAUUGCUGUUGAGAAGCGCCACGAAAGCAUCUUCAAAUUACUUAAUGAGAUAGGCUCAAUUGGAGAUCUAAUAGUCGGUAGAAAAUUUGAAGAUGGAAGCAACAUAUUGCAUUUAGCUGCAAGAUUGGCACCUCAAGAUAAGCUCAAUGCUAUAUCAGGAGCAGCUCUUCAAAUGCAACUAGAACUAUUAUGGUUCAAGGAGGUGGAAAAGGCCGUAAAUCCUGCAUUCAAAGAAAUGAAAAAUAUUAACGGGGAAACACCAUAUGUUUUAUUUGCGAUGAACCAUGAGAACUUAAGGAAGGAAGGAGAGAAGUGGAUGAUGAACACAGCUAAAUCAUCUAUGGUGGUUGCUACACUAAUUGGCACUAUAGUGUUUAGUGACCAAGCAGCUGAUAAAUCAAACAGUAGUCCUAAACUUUUUCUGGCCUAUUCAAUUUCAAGUGCAACAGCAUUAUUUGGUUCAUCAACAUCCCUAAUAAUGUUUUUAUCCAUUCUUACCUCACGUUAUUCAUACGAAGACUUUGUUGUAUGGUUACCUAUUAGGUUGAUGAUUGGAGUCACUUCACUUUUCAUCUCAAUUGCCGCCAUGAUGGUCGCAUUUUCUACAUCCUUUUCGUUGAGGAAUCUUAAUCAUCAGGAAUUGUCAUUGUUUUUUGUUGUCAUUGGUUUAUUUGCUUUUGUACCAAUCUUAUACGUGUUGCUCAAGUAUCGCCUAUUAGUUGAUAUACUUCGAUCUACCUUCUUUCAGUUUCAGCCUCAACAUCUACUUUUGAAGGCCCCACUGUGUAGUGGGAAUCCAACACCCGCUACAUAGAGCUAGCGUGCAACAUAGCUAUUGUUAAGUUUUUAGCAAUGGUUAGUCAUGAUUCGACCAGUUAAUCUUUUGUUUCUUUCCAUUCUACAUAUGUGUAAAAUGAUGUUAACUUGUACUAGUUUUGAAGCUGCGCAAUAGUAAGCAAACAUCAAGAGACUUACGGUUAUGGUUUAGCUGCUUUCCACGGAUUUACCAUGCGGAGAACUUGGAUUCGAACCCCUCCCCCUUGUAAACAAACAUCAAGAACUUUUUUACGUUGUAAGUGUAAAAAAGAAGAAAAAAUAGAGAAAAAAAAAUUGGAAAAUUAAAGAGGAUUAUAUAUGUAAAGUCAAACUUGUAAAGGAUAAAGAAACAAUUCUAAAGAAUC